rnacentral:rRNA from 1 species
ACCCGUUGAUCCUGCGGGAGGCUGCUGCUAUGAGGAUUCGACUUAGCCAUGCAAGUCAAGGGGGUCUUCGGAUCACCGGCAAACUGCUCAGUAACACGUCGCUAACCUAACCUUAAGCCUGGAAUAACCUUGGGAAACUGAGGCUAAUACCGGAUAGGGAAAAGAUUCUGUAACGAACUUUUCUCCAAAGGUUACACUUAAGGAUGGGGCGGCGGCCGAUUAGAUUGUUGGCGGGGUAACGGCCCACCAAGUCGGAGAUCGGUAGGGGCCCUGAGAGGGGUAGCCCCGAGAAGGGAACUUAGACACUGUCCCUAGCCCUACGGGGUGCAGCAGGCGCGAAACCUUUACAAUGCACGAAAGUGUGAUAAGGGAAUCCUCAGUGCUUAUGCUUUGCAUAGGCUUUUGCCAAGAGUAAAUAUCUUGGCGAAUAAGUGGUGGGUAAGACUGGUGCCAGCCGCCGCGGUAACACCAGCGCCACGAGUGGUAGCCAUUAUUAUUGGGCCUAAAGCGUUCGUAGCCGGUUUGUUAAAUCUCCUGUGAAAUUGUCUGGCUUAACCAAACAAAUGGCAAGAGACACUAACAAACUUGGGACCGGAAGGAGUCAGAGGUAUGCGUGGGGGAGCGGUAAAAUGCUAUAAUCCCUCGUGGACCACCUGUGGCGAAGGCGUCUGACUAGUACGGAUCCGACGGUGAGGAACGAAAGCCAGGGGAGCAAUCCGGAUUAGAUACCCGAGUAGUCCUGGCCGUAAACGCUGCGAGCUAGGUGUCGCGUAUUCUCCGAGAAUACGCGGUGUCGAAGCGAAGGUGUUAAGCUCGCCGCCUGGGAAGUAUGGUCGCAAGACUGAAACUUAAAGGAAUUGGCGGGGGAGCACCACAAGGGGUGCGGCGUGCGGUUUAAUCUAACUCAACACAGAGAAUCUCACCAGAAGCGACGGCAGGAUGAAGGUCAAGCUGAAUACUUUACCUGACGAGCCGAGAGGUGGUGCAUGGCCGUCGUCAGCUCGUGCCGUGAGGUGUCCUGUUAAGUCAGGCAACGAGCGAGACCUGUACCCAUAGUUGCUAGCGGGCCAGCAAUGGUGACUGAGCACACUAUGGGAACUGCCCUGGAAACAGGGAGGAAGGUGCAGGCUACGGUAGGUCUGUAUGCCCCGAAUCCUCUGGGCUACACGCGCGCAACAAUGGUUGGGACAAUGGGAUACAACCCCGAAAGGGGAAGUUAAACCUCUAAACCCAAUCCAAGUCCAGAUCGAGGGCUGUAACUCGCCCUCGUGACGAUGGAAUCCCUAGUAAUCGGAAGUCAUCAGCUUCCGGUGAAUAUGUCCCUGCUCCUUGCACACACCGCCCGUCAAACCAACCGAGCAGGGUUUAGAUGAGCUGCAGUUUCAUUGACUGUAUCGAAUCUAAGCUCAGUGAGGUGGGUUAAGUCGUCACAAGGUA